CACGUAGGCGGCUUUGUAAGUUAGAGGUGAAAGCCCGGGGCUCAACUCCGGAAUUGCCUUUAAGACUGCAUCGCUAGAAUUGUGGAGAGGUAAGUGGAAUUCCGAGUGUAGAGGUGAAAUUCGUAGAUAUUCGGAAGAACACCAGUGGCGAAGGCGACUUACUGGACACAUAUUGACGCUGAGGUGCGAAAGCGUGGGGAGCAAACA
rnacentral:rRNA from 1 species